UACAGAGGUCUCAAGCGUUUGUUCGGAUUCAUUGGGCGUAAAGGGUGCGUAGGCGGCGCGGUAAGUCGGAUGUGAAAUCUCGGAGCUUAACUUCGAAACUGCAUUCGAUACUGCCGUGCUUGAGGACUGGAGAGGAGACUGGAAUUUACGGUGUAGCAGUGAAAUGCGUAGAGAUCGUAAGGAAGACCAGUGGCGAAGGCGAGUCUCUGGACAGUUACUGACACUGAGGCACGAAGGCCAGGGGAGCAAACGGG
rnacentral:rRNA from 1 species